GAUGAACGCUAGCGGCAGGCCUAAUACAUGCAAGUCGAGGGGCAGCGCGGUAGCAAUACUGGCGGCGACCGGCGCACGGGUGCGUAACACGUAUGCAACCUACCUUCAACUGGAGGAUAGCCCGGGGAAACUCGGAUUAAUACUCCAUAACACAGGGAUCCCGCAUGGGAAUAUUGUUAAAGCUACGGCGGUUGAAGAUGGGCAUGCGUUCGAUUAGCUAGUUGGUGUAGGUAACGGCUCACCAAGGCUACGAUCGAUAGGGGGUCUGAGAGGAUGAUCCCCCACACUGGUACUGAGAUACGGACCAGACUCCUACGGGAGCAGCAGUAGGGAAUAUUGGUCAAUGGGCGCAAGCCUGAACCAGCCAUGCCGCGUGCAGGAAGAAGGCCCUCUGGGUUGUAAACUGCUUUUGAUAGGGACAAAUGCCACUUGCGAGUGGAGCUGAGUGUACCUAUAGAAUAAGCACCGGCUAACUCCGUGCCAGCAGCCG
rnacentral:rRNA from 1 species